UACAGAGGGUGCGAGCGUUAAUCGGAAUUACUGGGCGUAAAGCGUGCGUAGACGGCUAUCUAAGUCGGGUGUGAAAGCCCCGGGCUCAACCUGGGAAUUGCAUUCGAGACUGAAUAGCUAGGGUACGGUAGAGGGAAGUGGAAUUUCCGGUGUAGCGGUGAAAUGCGUAGAUAUCGGAAGGAACAUCAGUGGCGAAAGCGACUUCCUGGACCAGUACCGACGUUCAGGCACGAAAGCGCGGGGAGCAAACAGG
rnacentral:rRNA from 1 species